UACAGAGGUCUCGAGCGUUAGGCGGAAUCACUGGGCUUAAAGCGUGUGUAGGUGGAUCGUUAAGUACCUUGUGAAAUCCCACGGCUUAACCGUGGAACUGCUUGGUAUACUGGCGGUCUUGAGCCACUUAGGGGCUACCGGAACAAAUGGUGGAGCGGUGAAAUGCGUAGAGAUCCGGAAGAACACCAGUGGCGAAGGCGGCCCGCUGGGCAGUGGCUGACGCUGAGGCGCGACAGCGUGGGGGACGCAAACAGGA
rnacentral:rRNA from 1 species